UGGAGAUCCACUGCUGCGACGCGUCAAGGAAGCGUCCUGCACAGCGUAGCGGCCGCGGGGUCAUCCUUCAGGAACUUGGCGUGCGACCUGCUCACCUAGACUUGGCGGGGCAGCGGCGUCUGUGCUAUUCUCGUCAUCCUGGGGCGAUCGGCAAUAUCAACGGAUGAUUCUUUGAAGGUUGUUGCAUCCAGGUCGAUGAUACCUGAAAUUCUUCGGAGUUCUUUUGAAUCGAAAGAUCAGGAAAUAAGCUUGUGGUGACUUUCUAAGGUUUUCGCAUUGGACCGUUUGGAACUUCGGAUUGGCAGAGAGCUAGAGACCCCGGUGCUCUGAAGGAUGUUGAAUUUGAGAACAGAAUUUAUUGUUGUUAAAUAAUAUUUGCUUCUUUCAUAUGGAAAAGUUAGCGUUGUUGGGAGCUCGAUGUUGCAGUGGGCCUUGACAGUGGCUAGCUGGGAGUUGGCGAGGUAGAUGUCGUCGUCGACAAGGGCCGUGACCUCAUCUCCUUUGGCCCCAAGUCCGACUACCACCACAACCAGACAUGCUCCUCCAUAGGCCUUGGAUUACUGUCAGCUACAAGAUAAAGUUCGGAGAAAGGAGCUAAAACUUGACUCACCAGGUCUGCUCUAUAUUGUACCAUACAGUUCAUAUUUUGGUAGUCUUGCUUCUUCGGAAAUUUCUGAAAUUCAAAGUUACCCUCAAAGUGGUAGAGAAUGGACAGAACUAGAGCAUGGGCUGUCAGCUUCUGUGUUGGUAGGGCAAUUCUUAGGCCCACCAAGAUACUGGUCCUGGACAAAGCCACUGCUUCGGUGGACAGUGCAACCGAUAA